UAGGUAGCAAUACUGAGGUGGCGACCGGCGCACGGGUGAGUAACGCGUAUCCAACCUGCCCUUCAUAGUUGGGAUAGCCUUCCGAAAGGGAGAUUAAUACCGAAUAACAUGAGAAGUUUGCAUGAAUCUCUCAUGAAAGCUCCGGCGAUGAAGGAUGGGGAUGCGUUCCAUUAGGUAGUAGGCGGGGUAACGGCCCACCUAGCCUACGAUGGAUAGGGGGUUCUGAGAGGAAGGUCCCCCACACUGGUACUGAGAUACGGACCAGACUCCUACGGGAGGCAGCAGUGAGGAAUAUUGGUCAAUGGUCGGAAGACUGAACCAGCCAUGCCGCGUGCAGGAAGAAUGUCUUAUGGAUUGUAAACUGCUUUUGUAUGGGAAUAAUAAUAGCUUUGCGAAGUUAGAUGCAUGUACCAUACGAAUAAGGAUCGGCUAACUCCGUG
rnacentral:rRNA from 1 species